rnacentral:rRNA from 1 species
AGUGAGCGCUGGCGGUAGGCCUAACACAUACAAGUCGAACGGCAGCACAGUAAGAGCUUGCUCUUACGGGUGGCGAGUGGCGGACGGGUGAGGAAUACAUCGGAAUCUACUUUUUCGUGGGGGAUAACGUAGGGAAACUUACGCUAAUACCGCAUACGACCUACGGGUGAAAGCAGGGGAUCUUCGGACCUUGCGCGAUUGAAUGAGCCGAUGUCGGAUUAGCUAGUUGGCGGGGUAAAGGCCCACCAAGGCGACGAUCCGUAGCUGGUCUGAGAGGAUGAUCAGCCACACUGGAACUGAGACUCGGUCCAGACUCCUACGGGAGGCAGCAGUGGGGAAUAUUGGACAAUGGGCGCAAGCCUGAUCCAGCCAUACCGCGUGGGUGAAGAAGGCCUUCGGGUUGUAAAGCCCUUUUGUUGGGAAAGAAAAGCAGCAGGUUAAUACCCCGCUGUUCUGACGGUACCCAAAGAAUAAGCACCGGCUAACUUCGUG